CAUACCUCUCUCUCCCACUCUCUGUCACAUAGUCUCUCUCUGUCUCUGCCACACAUCCCAACUUUCUCUCUCCCCCGUCUCACUCUCUGUCACACUCACCCUCUCUCUCUCACUCUCUCUCUCUCACACACACACACAUACACACACACAAACACACACACAGAGUCUCUCUCUCUAUCUUUCUCUAUCACAUACACACACAGUCUCUCUCUCUGUCACACACACAGUCUCUCUGUCUCUCUCUCUCUCUGUCACACACACACAGUCUCUCUCUCUCUCUGUCUGUCUCACAUACACACUGUCUCUCUCCCUCUGUCACACACUGUCUCUCUCUCUCUCUCAAUCACGCUCUGUCUCUCUGCCGCAUUCCCCCUCUCUGUAACGGGGUUUCCUCAGCCCUAUUGCAGUGUCCCCGGGGUAACACCUUCCUCGAUGUGUCUUUUCCCGUUUUGCUGAGCGCUGUUUACACACUUCCCCUGGGGAUGAAUGUCUAACUGUGGAUGGUUGCUGAUUUUCCCGGUCACUGGGCGGCUGUGGGAGUUACAGUGAGUGUGACUGACAUUGUAUCCGUAUCCCUCUGUUCCCAGCUCCAGUCACCUUGGACCCUCAGACAGCCCAUCCUGCCCUUCUCCUGCCUGAGGACCUGAGCGCCGUGAGAUACACCGGGAAUCGGCAGCAGCUUCCCGACAAUCCGGAGAGAUUUGCUUGCUGUAUCUCUGCCCUGAGAUCGGAGGGAUUUACAUCAGGGAGACAUUCCUGAGAGGUGGAGGUGGGGAACAAGAUUGAAUGGAAUGUGGGAGCGGCGAAGGAAUCCAUCAACAGGAAGGAAGCAACACACGCGAGUCCCCGUCAUGGAUAUUGGACAGUGGCCUGAGAGACGGGAAUAAAUACUGGGCUCGUGAGGAAACGUGGGAAUUCUUAGGGCUGAGUGUGAACCCGAGGAAGAUCCGAGUCUGUCUGGAUUUUGAGGGAGGGAAGGUGUCCUUUUAUAACUCAGAGAACAGGACCCAUAUCUACACUUUCACUGGGACAUUCACUGAGAAAAUCUGUCCUUACUUCUGUCCAAGUCUCGCUGAUGAAGGUAAAAACACAGAGCCCCUGAAAAUCUGUCCCUGGAGGAUAACAAUCUCGGAGGAUGGGGGAUUCAUCCCUUCAUCCAAAUAAAGACUCUUCCAUUCUAUCCUUCACCAAGUGACUCUCUGGAAUCGAACACUUUGGAGGAGAUUACAGUGAGUCUUCCACAGAUGAAGCCUUGGUUGGUGCAGUUUCCCCCCAGAGACAGUCAUUGUGUUCACUGUGCCCUGUUCGGUCAGACUGUCUCGGGGAGGCAGUGUUGUACAAUGUCUUCUUACUUCCGUGAUAUGUUUCUUCUUUGCCUGUAUGGUUCAGAUGUAACAAAUAAAUUUUGCAUUGAUUUGA